AUGAGAACAGUUGAGGUUUUGCUAAUUAUUUUGACAAGCUGAUAAAUAUGGGAUUUUGUGGUUAUGGCAUUUCUAAUUAUUGAUUGGAAUAAAUAACUCGGGGACUUUGCAAAUUGGAGAAGUGUCAAAAAUAUGCAUGGUUUUCACAGGAGAUCAGAGUGCUUGCGUGGUAGCUUAUACGAAAAUUCUCGCUCUGUUAUUUGCUUGAAUACAUCAGUUUUCAAAAUUUUAAUGAGUGUUCCAGGCAGUCCUGUCAAUUCAAAGGCCAUAUUCGUUGUUUAUUUUUGUGUUCUUUAUCUUAGAAUUAAGAAUGCUACAAUUCUGUAAGUGGCUCGAUUUAUAAGAAAAACAGGACCCUCAGUUUUGCUCGUCACAAAAGAACAUUAAAAAGUAACACCAAGAAACAAUUCAAAACAAACACAGAGCUUUAAUGAACACAAUCCACAUUCCGCAACAUUAAUGAUUAGCAUAAACGCAUGGUAUGCUACCACCGAUAUUGUGUUGCAUUCCGAAGAAAUCCUUUUUAUUGGAAAAAAUUGUCCAUGCGCAUUUCAGACUACACCAGUUUCGUGUCUGACAGAGUUUUUAAAAACAGAGUCAUUGGCAGUAUAUCUAUUGCGGAAAUCUGCGUUGUGCACGCAAGCUGUUUGACAAAAUGCCUGAUUGAGAUGAGUGCUCAUGGACUAUCUUGCUUGCAGGUUGUGCAAGGCAAGGGCUACCUCAUGAGUUAUUGGAAUUGUUUCAGCAAAUGCAGAGAGUGGGAGUCCAAGCCAAUCAAUUCAUGUUGUCUGGCGUUCUUCCAGCCUGUGCAAGUCUGGUGUAUCUGCAGCAGGAGUGGAAAUUCAUCAAGAGAUGAUAAGUAGUGGGUUAAAAUCAGAUAUGUUUGUAUCCCAGUGCUCUGGAGAAUAUGUAUGCAAAAUAUUGGAUAUAGAGGUUACACGCCAUGUGUUUGACAAAAUGCCUAAGCUAGAUAUACUGUCCCGAGCGAAUAUAAUCACUGGGUGUGUGCAAGCAAGCUAUCUUGAUGAGCUCCCUGCCUAUUUCCAACAGAUGCCUCGGAGAGAUUUGUGAGAUUUAACUACAAUAAAGUCGGGAUUCACCCAGAGUGGAUAUGAGGAAGGCAUGAGUUUCCAAUACACCAUAUCAACAAUAGGAGUUUCAUCCAUGUUCCCUCUGCCAUGCGUUCGUACCUAAUCCAAAACACCAAGAAACAGUCCAAAAUACAGGACUUUAACGAACAUAAUCCAUAUGCCGCAGCAAUGGUUAGCAUAAACAUGUGGUAUGCCACCACUGAUAUUGUGAUGCAUUGAGAAGAAAUCCUUGUCAUUGGAAAAAAACGGUCCUUGCCCAUUUCAGACUACGUAGUUUCGUGUCUGAUAGGGUUUUAGAAGACAGUGUUCUUGCCAUGUAUAUCUAGUGCGGAAAUCUGCGUCAUGCACGCAAACUGUUUGACAAAAUGCCUGAUCGAGAUGAGUACUCAUGGACUGUCUUGCUUGCAGACUGUGCAAAGUAAUGGUAACCUCAUGAGGUAUUGGAAUUGUUUCAGCAAAUCAGAGAGGGGGAAUCCAAGCCAAUCAAUUCAUGUUGUCUGGCAUUCUUCCAGCCUGUGCAAGACCGGUAUAUCUGCAGCAGGGAUGGAAAUCCAUCAAAGAUGGUACGAAGUGGGUUAAAAUCAGAUACGUUUGUAUUCAAUGUUCUGGAGAACAUGUAUAUGGGAUAUAGGGGUUACCCGCCAUGUGUUUGAAAAUGCCUAAACGAGAUAAGGUCCUGAACGAACAUGAUCACUGGGUAUGUGCAAGCAGGUCAGCUUGAUGAGCUCUGGGCCUAUUUCCAACAGAUGCGUCGGAGAGAUGUGUGAGCUUAACGAAAAUAAUGUUGGAAUUUGCUCAGAGUGGGUAUGAGCAAGGCAUGAGCUUCCCAUCCAGGUUUUGGCUCUGAGCAUUUUACAUUCUUGGAGACACCAUGUCGACAACAGGAGCUUCAUCGAUAUUCCCUCUGCCAUUUGUUCGCCAUGAUGGAGGAAGCGAGGAUUGCAAGAGGGGUACGGUGAUGGGUUACUUCUCUAUGAUACACCGCCUAUAUAAGGGGACUUGAUGGUUCCAUGAGGCUAGGGGGGUACAGAGGGUACUGCCCUUGGGCCUAGAGGAGAUGGUUUCCAGGGAACCUUGUUGCAACCUCUUUCUCCUAUCAUGAGACCAAUCAUAGAGAGAAGGAGAAGGUUGGGUAAAUGAGGGGAUAGUGGAAAGUGGACACCUCACUUGGUAGACCACCUCAUAUGGAUGGCAUGGGCCACAUGAGGCCAAGAGGGAUGGUAUUUUCGCUCUUGGGCCUAGAGUGGAGGAUCUGAGACACCCCAUCAAAGUCACUCUCUCCCAUGCUCUCCUAUAAUUGAGCCUUCCAAAUAUGUUUAAAUGCUUUAUGAUUGAAUUGAUAAUUCUGCCAUGGAUUUACUAAUGUUCAAUUAUUGUAAUCUGCUUAUUGGAAUUGUUAUUGUAAAUGAUUUCUCAUC